AUUGAACGCUGGCGGCAGGCCUAACACAUGCAAGUCGAACGGUAGCACAGAGAGCUUGCUCUCGGGUGACGAGUGGCGGACGGGUGAGUAAUGUCUGGGAAACUGCCUGAUGGAGGGGGAUAACUACUGGAAACGGUAGCUAAUACCGCAUAAUGUCGCAAGACCAAAGAGGGGGACCUUCCGGCCUCUUGCCAUCGGAUGUGCCCAGAUGGGAUUAGCUUGUUGGUGAGGUAAAGGCUUACCAAGGCGACGAUCCCUAGCUGGUCUGAGAGGAUGACCAGCCACACUGGAACUGAGAAACGGUCCAGACUCCUACGGGAGGCAGCAGUGGGGAAUAUUGCACAAUGGGCGCAAGCCUGAUGCAGCCAUGCCGCGUGUGUGAAGAAGGCCUUCGGGUUGUAAAGCACUUUCAGCGGGGAGGAAGGCGGUGAGUUUAAUAAGCUCACCGAUUGACGUUACCCGCAGAAGAAGCACCGGCUAACUCCGUGCCAGCCGCCGCCGUAA
rnacentral:rRNA from 1 species